GGUGCUGCAUGGCUGUCGUUAGCUCGUGUCGUGAGAUGUUGGGUUAAGUCCCGCAACGAGCGCAACCCCUAUCUUUAGUUGCCAGCAUGUUUGGGUGGGCACUCUAGAGAGACUGCCGGUGACAAGCCGGAGGAAGGUGGGGAUGACGUCAAGUCCUCAUGGCCCUUAUGUCCUGGGCUACACACGUGCUACAAUGGCGGUGACAGUGGGAAGCUAGAUGGCGACAUCGUGCUGAUCUCUAAAAGCCGUCUCAGUUCGGAUUGCACUCUGCAACUCGAGUGCAUGAAGGUGGAAUCGCUAGUAAUCGCGGAUCAGCAUGCCGCGGUGAAUGCGUUCCCGGGUCUUGUACACAC
rnacentral:rRNA from 1 species